AGAUGAACGCUGGCGGCAGGCCUAACACAUGCAAGUCGAGCGGUAGCACAGAGAGCUUGCUCUCGGGUGACGAGCGGCGGACGGGUGAGUAAUGUCUGGGAAACUGCCUGAUGGAGGGGGAUAACUACUGGAAACGGUAGCUAAUACCGCAUAACGUCGCAAGACCAAAGUGGGGGACCUUCGGGCCUCAUGCCAUCAGAUGUGCCCAGAUGGGAUUAGCUAGUAGGUGGGGUAACGGCUCACCUAGGCGACGAUCCCUAGCUGGUCUGAGAGGAUGACCAGCCACACUGGAACUGAGACACGGUCCAGACUCCUACGGGAGGCAGCAGUGGGGAAUAUUGCACAAUGGGCGCAAGCCUGAUGCAGCCAUGCCGCGUGUGUGAAGAAGGCCUUCGGGUUGUAAAGCACUUUCAGCGGGGAGGAAGGCGGUGAGGUUAAUAACCUCAUCGAUGGACGUACCCGCAGAAGAAGCACCGG
rnacentral:rRNA from 1 species